rnacentral:rRNA from 1 species
AUUGAACGCUGGCGGCAUGCUUUACACAUGCAAGUCGAACGGUAACAGGCCUUCGGGUGCUGACGAGUGGCGAACGGGUGAGUAAUGCAUCGGAACGUGCCCAAUCGUGGGGGAUAACGUAGCGAAAGUUACGCUAAUACCGCAUAAGCCCUGAGGGGGAAAGCAGGGGAUCGCAAGACCUUGCGCGAAUGGAGCGGCCGAUGUCAGAUUAGCUAGUUGGUGGGGUAAAGGCCUACCAAGGCGACGAUCUGUAGCGGGUCUGAGAGGAUGAUCCGCCACACUGGGACUGGGACACGGCCCAGACUCCUACGGGAGGCAGCAGUGGGGAAUUUUGGACAAUGGGCGCAAGCCUGAUCCAGCCAUGCCGCGUGCGGGACGAAGGCCUCGG